GCCACCUGAUGUAAAGAAGUGACUCAUCAGAAAAGACCCUGAUGCUGGGAAAAGAUAGAAGGCACAAGGAGAAGGGGAUGACAGAGGAUGAGAUGGUUGGAUGGCAUCACUGACUCGAUGGACAUGAGUUUGAGCAAACUCCGGGAGUUGGUGAUGGCCUGUUGUACUGCAGUGCAUGGAGUCGCGAAGAGCUGGACACAACUGAGCGACUGAACUGAACUGAUACAUACAUAUACAGGGCUACAGUUUAGAAACUUGUAUUCCAAGCCUAUCUUACAGAUCCAAAUUAAAAGGUCUCCUCGAUUAUCCACUGGAGUGGAGAUCCACUGUCCAGGGACUUCCCUGGGGGUCCAGCAGCUAAUACACCACACUCCCAAUGGAGGGGGCCCAGGUUCGAUCCCUGGUCAGGGAACUAGAUCGCACAUGAUCUAGCAACUAAGAGUUCAUAUGUUGCAACUAAGAGCCGGUGUAGCCAAAAUAAAUGUUAAAAAAGAAAGAAAAAUAAUUUUAAAAAAGAAAGAAAUCUACUGUCCAGAAAGCUACUGUUUAUCUCUAAAUACAUAAAAGAAUCAUCUCUCCCCUCACCCCACAGAUAUUCACAAAGGUCACUAAUAAAGUUACAUAAAAAGGUAGAAAAGUAAAACCAAAACCAAGCCCAGAAAGCUACCUACUAAAUGUGUUCAGAAUCUGCGUGGGUGAUUUACAUGUGUGACAUUCCUCACAAUGUUAAGAGGGAAAGAACCAUGAACUAUGUUCUAGAGGACAUAGCUCCACUGUGAGGCUUCAGAGAGUAUGGACAAGCCAAGAAUGCAUCCAUUUAGCAUCUGUCAAGCAGGCAUUUAAAAGCCACAUUCAAGACCCCAGUCAGAUAUGUUAUUUCCCUUAGUUUAUGGAUGAGAAACUUGGGCUCCUAAAAAAUGUCAGCUGAAUGAUGAUGCAGAAGGGAUUCAGCCCAUUAAACCUCCUGUUGCUUCUUAUUUGCCAGGUACUAGACCCAUUCACAGGGUUUCCCUGAUGGCUCAGCAGUAAAGAAUCCGCCUGCAAUGCAGGAGACACAGGAGAUGUGGGUUCAGUCCCUGGGCCAGGAAGAUCCCCUGGAGAAGGAAAUGGCAACCCACUCCAGUAUUCUUGCCUGGAAAAUCCCAUAGACAGGGGACCCUGGCAUGCUACAGUCCAUGGGGCUGCAAAGAAUCGGACAUGACUAAGAAGUCAGGCAGACCCAUUUACAGACAUUAUCUCAGUUAACCCUCACUUCCAUCCUGCAGGGACACCGUAUUCUCCCCAUGUCCCCAGUGGCGGACAGGAAGCUUUAGAGAAGGCAAGCCAUGAAUUUCUAAGCUCUGCCUUGGGGAGAGGCAACUUCUUCCUCUUCCAAACAUCCCAACAAUUGACCUCACACUGUAGGACCAAAUCAAGACAUUUCACUACAGGGGGGCUUUUCUUAGCAUCAUGGUGUGGGAAGGACAUGGAUUUUAAGGCCAGCUACAGGAAGCUGGAAUCCGUCCACACUGUUACCUGUCCAGGUGGACCACGGGGCACCCCACACUUUCCCCAGCUGAAGUCAGUCUUGCCAAACUCUUCAGCAGUUCACGACUUUGCAAGUUCAGGGACAGAUCAUAUCAGAGUCCCUAGUCCACUUCACACGACUGGGGAAAAAACAACCACAACUUCCCCUGCCCUUAGUUCCUCCUCCGAAAGAGCUGCUGAACCUCAUCUGGAAACAGCUGGGAGGCAGCAGUUAACAGGAAACCAAACCCAAAAAAAAAAAGCACAGAGUGUACCAGGGAGAGUUAGGCGGCUAGAACGAAGAGGCCGGGGGACCAACAGGAAGCUGAAGUCAGAAAGAGCCCAGGCCAGAAACAGACAGAAGAGGAGGCGGCCCAGCUGUCCAGGAGAGGGAAAAAACCUGGAAAAUGGGGGUGAAGGCUCUACAUGGCCCUGAAAGGGAAGUGAGGCCACCUCUGGGGUUGUUUUCUUUCCUCCCUGCCCCCUAUAUCGCAACCCUCCUUCUCUGAAAGCCAGUGAGCAGUUUUCAUAGGAUAGCUGAGGUCAGAAACAUUUCUGUUCUCAUGCUGCUUUCUAGGCCAGAGGCUGCGGCCCAGAUAACUGGUUUUGAGUCCUUCUCCUAUCAAUUUGUACCCACGUUCCACGCUGCCAACUAAAUUCUGGGGACACCCAGAUUAGCCUCACGCAGAGAGGGGCACGAAGAGCAUCUUCAUGAGAAAUUACUAGGCUGAUGCCCACUGGGGGACCAGCAGUGGCAGGAGACUGCACAGGGAGUGACAGCAAAGCCGGACGGAGAACCAGCAGGGCUGGAGGUCUCAAAGAACAAGGACCCAGCUGACUGCCCAGUACACAGUGGAGGCCCAACAGGUGCUAAACAGAAACCUCUGGGCCUUGAUGGAUGAGGCAAGGCUGAACGUCAAUGUCAAGCUCUCUGCUUCAGGACAACACACCCUCUGUCUUGCUCACAAACCGAGCGGCUCUGGAGACAAGCGGCAUGUCUAUGUGUGACAAUACUCAAGUGGAAAUAGUCUUAUUAGCUGCAGUUUUGACACCCCUGAGUCCCCAGACCUCUUUGAUGAACACAGAGGAUGGACAGUAAAAAAUCACAACAGAAGCCGAGGCAACGCUGGGGUCUCUCCUGUGCCCAGCUGUGUGUGAAGUGCUACCCACAUUCUCUCCUCUUGUCCGUGUUCUGGCCCCAAGACAGUCCUGUGAUCUCACCGUGGCAGCGAGAGACCCUGAGGCUCGUGUGUGUGUGUGUGUGUGUGUGUCAAGUGGAGGAUCUGGGAUUCGAACCAGGGACAUCUGCUCCCAUCAGCAAGGCCACCUACAUCUGCACUGUCUGAUUCAGACUAGAUUCCGGCAAACAGUGAUAACCUGGAAAGGGGACCAAGUAGCGGGGAGCGUGGUCAGGUGCAAAAUUCCAAAGAACGGUUCGUCUAGCAUUUAAGAGCCUGAAGACCUAUCUUCCCAGCUCUAAGGGAAGUUGGCUUUGGGUCACUGUGCCUGGGCAGUGCUCUGUGGACCCGAAUAAACAAAGUGAUGAAGCUAAGGCUGGGAUAAAGGACUGACCCCAAGGGAGGACCUGUGCGUCUUCUCUACUGCAACCCCAGUUAUCAGACCAGCUACAGGACACUCAUGGAUCCUGCUCAAUGAAUACCAGACAGUUCCAAUCAUCCAGAGAGCAAACGAGGAAACAAAAACAAGAAGACACCUUUCAACGUACCCCCAACACCCCAGCAGG